UGGUGGGGCGGGAAGGUUCACUCUCUCCUGGCUGGGUUUGUCUUUUCACUCCACUAACAUUCCAGGGGCCUUGGGGAGGGGCUCACUCGCGGGCUCAGAUACAGGAGAGGCAGCAGGCUCCAGGGAACAGACGCUAUUCCUGUCCUGCCACUGUCUGUCUGUGACGCCUUGGCCUUGUCAUUCCCUAGCUCAGUGCCUCACUUUCCAUUCUCGUCAGCCUGUGCCUAUAUCCCUGUGGUUUCGUGUCCGUGUUGGUGACAGUCCCACCCCAUACUGCGCAGUCUAAUACCAGCUCCUCUCUCUUGCCAGCACCAUGAAACCAGCCCUUCAGCCUGACCUAGAGCCCCGCCUCUUGAAAGCUGCCCUUGGCUUGGUCUUCACCCUGGGCACAGAGAUGGACACCAUCAACACCCAGGCUCUGCACAAAGUCAUACCAGAGCUCCUGGAUGCCGUGCUGGGGAACCUGCUGGCAGAGUCCCCAGAUGCAGACAGGCUCCACUUCAUCGUGGAGGUGAGUCCCAUAAGGAGGGGUAGGAACUACUUUUAUCUUAACUCUUUGGGGGGCUGGUAAGGAGAGACUGGCAGAUCCAUUUCCUAUUCUCUCUUCCUAACUGGGUCCCCAGUGCGGCGUCCUUGGCUGGGGAGGUCAGAGCAAUGCAGGGUCAGGUCCUGCUUUCUGGAGGGAUAGAGGAAGGAGCUGGGACUUCAAGCCAGAGCUCUGCCUGGUUCUGUUGAGAACUAACCAGAGGGCCCCUGGUUGUCUUGGGGAGCGAGAGUCUGAAACCCCCCCUUCUCCCACCCCCCCAACACACACACCCCAUGAGAUUCCAGAGAUGGUUCUCAGAGAAGAGGCACACGCUUCUUCCUAGAGAAACAGGAGGACCCCAGGGAAUCAGCCCUU